UUUGAGCUGAAGUCUGUUUCCUGCUGGGAUCAUGACUGACCCUUCACAGUACAGCCAAAAUCUAUUUGUACUUUUCAGUUGAUCACUCUGGCUGUUGUGAGGAAAAUGGAUUGGAUUGGAGUGAGCGAGAGUAAUGCCAGGAGAUGGAGAGAACUGGACCAUCUACUUGGGAAGGAAAAGUCAAGAUUUGGUCAUAGAGGGCCAUAGUCAAGAUGGGCUAUAGAGGUGAAUAAGAGAGAAGAUUCAACAAUUGCUCUGUUCAGUAAUCAAAAGAAACAAAUACUGGUUUCAAGGAAUCAGAAAAUGCACAUGUUCCAAAAUUGCUUACGAUACUGAUAAGGAUGACUGGAAACAUCUUAAGCCUUUCUUCUGGUCCAUAUCUGCAAACUUUCUAUAUCUUGAAUCCUGCAAAAAGUUUUAAAACCAGGCCCCCCAAAAACUUAAAAAUAGCAUUUUAGCAUCAGGCAAUAUUUGCAGAGUACCUAUGUGCAAGGCACUCUGGAAGAUACUAAAAAGAGUCAUCAAAGAAGAAUGGUUAGGAAUCUGGACUCUGAAAGCAGACUACCUUGGUUUAAUUAACAGCCAUGGAUUUGCAGAAAAGAAGAGAAAGAAGGAAGGGAGACAAGGAUAAAAGCCAGCGCCAAUUCUCAAUCAUGUGAGUGAAGCCAUUGUGGAUCUUCCGGCUCCCCCAGAGACCUAACCAACAAUACAGGAAACAGAAUGGCCUGUCAACCCACAGAAUUCUGAAAAAUAAUCAAUUGUUGUUUUAAGUCACUGACAGAAAGGGAAGUUUGCUUUGUAGUAGGUAGAUUUGCAGAUAACUGCAGUGAUGGGUGUCCAGACCUCUCCUCCAGUAGUCUGUAUAUUUCACUAUAUAUACUGUCUUCUCAUUCUCCUUUCUCCUACUUCUCAUUUGUUCAGUCAACCAAUGCAUUUUAAAGCAUUUCAAGUAUUCCAGAUACUACCAACUCAAAGGUUAAUAAAAACACACUUGUUACCACUCUCAUCAACCUCAUAAUCAAGAAUAGAAAAUAGACUAAACAAUUGUCACAUAUUUUGACCAAAGUACUAAUAUAACUAGUACAGAAGUGGUAAAUAGAAACAGUGUGUGUGUGUGUUUAUUUGUGUGUGUGUGCAUGUGUAUAUUUUUAGUGGUUACAGAAUCAUGCAUGGGAGAGGAAGAGAAGGUAUUAUUAAGGAAUUGGUGCCUGAACAUUAUCAUAAAUUAUAUACCAGACAGAUGAAGGCAAUGAGAG
rnacentral:lncRNA from 10 species